rnacentral:rRNA from 1 species
ACGCUGGCGCGUGCUUCAUACAUGCAAGUCGAACGAGAAGCUAGCUUCGGUUAGUGGAAAGUGGCGGACGGGUGAGUAACGCGUGGGCAAUCUGCCUCUUACAGGGGGAUAACACAGGGAAACCUGUGCUAAUACCGCAUAACACUUUAGUACCGCAUGGUACAGAAGUCAAAGCUUUAUGUGCUGAGAGAUGGUCUCGCGUCUGAUUAGCUAGAUGGCGGGUAACGGCCCACCAUGGCGACGAUCAGUAGCCGGUCUGAGAGGUUGAUCGGCCACAUUGGGACUGAGACACGGCCCAGACUCCUACGGGAGGCAGCAGUGGGGGAUAUUGCACAAUGGGGGAAACCCUGAUGCAGCAACGCCGCGUGAAGGAAGAAGGUCUUCGGAUUGUAAACUCUUGUCUUUAGGGAAGAAGAAAGUGACGGUACCUAAGGAGGAAGCCACGGCUAACUACGUG